rnacentral:rRNA from 14 species
AGUGAUAAAGGAGGUGGGAUUGCAUAGACAACCAGGAGGUUUGCCUAGAAGCAGCCAUCCUCAAAGGAGUGCGUAAUAGCUCACUGGUCGAGCGAUCCUGCGCCGAAAAUGAACGGGGCUAAGUGUUGUACCGAAGCUGCGGAUUAAACUUGUUUAAUGGUAGGGGAGCGUUCUAUGUGGGGCGAAGCGUUAGCGUGAGCGGGCGUGGACUGCAUAGAAGUGAGAAUGUCGGCUUGAGUAGCGAAAAAAUGGGUGAGAAUCCCAUUCCCCGAAACCCUAAGGGUUCCUCCGGCAGGCUCGUCCGCGGAGGGUUAGUCAGGACCUAAGGCGAGGCCGAAAGGCGUAGUCGAUGGACAACAGGUCAACAUUCCUGUACUGAUCAUGUUUUGGGAAGGGGGACGGAGAAGGCUAGCCAAUCCGGAUGUUGGUUACCGGUCCAAGCGUUCGAGGCGUUGAGAGCUGGCGAAAACAGCUUGAGCUGAGGCGUGAGUGCGAGCUUCUACGGAAGCGAAGUUGGUGACGUCAAGCUUCCAAGAAAAGCCCUAUACCCGUUAAGGCAUGAUUACCUGUACCCGAAACCGACACAGGUGGGGUGGUAGAGAAUACCGAGGGGCGCGAGGUAACUCUCUCUAAGGAACUCGGCAAAAUGACCCCGUAACUUCGGGAGAAGGGGUGCCACCGCAAGGUGGUCGCAGUGAAGAGGCCCUGGCGACUGUUUACCAAAAACACAGGUCUCCGCUAAGUCGCAAGACGAUGUAUGGGGGCUGACGCCUGCCCAGUGCCGGAAGGUUAAGGAAGCCGGUCAGCGUAAGCGAAGCUGGCGACUGAAGCCCCGGUGAACGGCGGCCGUAACUAUAACGGUCCUAAGGUAGCG